GUGAACCAUGAACCGACCAAAACAGUUUNGCACAUCUCUACUUAGGACGCCCGGGGACCGAAUUCCCAUUUGGUCAUGGAAAGUUACGUGGUAACAGAAGAACCUUAUGCAUUUCUUAUUUUCAGGCCUGUACUUAUUGGACAAGAGCGGCCAUUUUCCGACAAUGCUUCCGACAGAGAGCUGGUCUUGUUGGAGUUCGGAAGUUCCUGAAAAUGCCUCUUUCGUGGCCCAGUGGUAGGAACCAAAGCUCCUGGUGUGCUUUAUUUGUGGGAUUCAUUAUACAAGGGACUCAGCCACACCUAAAUUUGAAUCCAGCUUCAGUCCACUUUUGGAUUGAAAGAACCCACCAGCAAAGUGCCUAAUCNUUUUCUUUCCACAUGAUCUAACCCAAAAGGUGGNUUUUCUGAGUUAGAUAAUUCUGNAAGNAAGCAUCUUAGUUCUUCACUGAUGUGUUCUCUCAAAGUGGACCAACGCUGGAUUAAAACUUAGGUGUGACCUGUGCCGUAAGAGAAGAACCUAGCUCACGUACUGUGCAUUAAUGUGGAUUCUUUUUUCCUCAAGGACUUAAAACCAGCAAAGAUUCGAGGAUACACCGAGGCUUAGAUAGCCAUUCUAGGCUGACCUACAGUGGCUCUCGUGUCCAACUCUUGGUCUACAGAAGCCAAAGCAAAGCACUGAACCCGCAGUGCCCUCUGCGAGGUCUGGAUCCAGCAGAACAGAGAACCAAACAUUUCUGGACCCCAGAGAGGACUGUUAAUGUGACGUCAGCAGCCAGCAGGAAACAACUCGAGAGGAAGUAUCUGAGAUUCUGGAGGCACCGUGUUCUGCUGCGUCGCUUUCAGGAAUCCANAGAGACACGGCGUCUGGUGAGCGCAUGGCUAUCUUGGAAGGAGGCUUGCAUGACAGAGCUGGCAUCGCGAGCAUUGGUGAGUCCUGCGAUGACUUUGCUGUCAUACUGCCAGUUCUGGAGAACAGCUUGAAUCCAGAAACCACCCUCAGGUUUCUAGUCCUUAUGGAAGAUGCUUGGGAAUCCCAUGAACUGUGGGAACA
rnacentral:lncRNA from 1 species